rnacentral:lncRNA from 1 species
AGUUGUCUAUCUCAUGGUUUGUAUUUUUACUUUUCUAUAGCUUUCACCUCAACUAGGUAUAAACUCCUUGAGAGUCAUCUUUGAUAUAUCUUGUUGACAUGGUUUAUUAGAGAAGGAGAUGCAUAAGUAAGCUAACUGGCAUUGACCCUUUUUUUUUUAAUUACAUGAUAUGUCUCAAGACAAAGUAGGUCACUAAGAAGAUAGGAAGAUAGGGAUGGAGGUCUUAGCAAUGCAUAAGAGAUGUGCAAACAAGAGCACAAUGUUCCACCUCUUUUCCAGAAUGGUGAUGAUCUGGCAUGAUGCUCCAGCUCUAUCUGAACAAAGUGGCUCCUUUCACUUCAGCAACCCAAGAUUGUGGAAGCCUUUGUAGAAACCACUUCAGAUGGACUCAUUGACCGGUGAUCAUAAAUCAGCCCUUUAUUGGUGAAGAGGUGAGGUGGGUUAACAAUGGAUUUACUUGUAAAUUGAGAAGAGAUAAAUCUUUGCUCCCUCAAGGGUAGCAAUGUAUUUAUAGGUUGGAAGGCAGUACCACUUUUCAAAAAACACUUUAUAGGAAGGUAAAGUCUUCAAGACCUUGGGUGUUUAUGAUCUCUGAAGCUUGUGUAUCUGCAGAAUUGUUGUAAAACACACUAAUAAAACAGAAUCGGAUGUUGCUUUAUAUUUGCCU